CCAAAACAGGCAGAGUGGGUGGAGCUGGGCAUUGGAGCUUGAGGGUAAGCUGGGUUUGUCUGAGGGGCUCUGUCUUCCAGGAGCUCACCUUUUCAAAAGGUGUGAGGGAAGGAAGGAGGCUAUAGGCCCAAUAAGCAGUUGGCAUUUCCUGACAAUUGUUUCAAACACAAAGCCAGCAGGAGCUGCUCCCAGCGAGCCCCGCUUCUCCCCAUAAUCUAGCCUUGGGUAACAGGCUUCUCCCAGGAGAUCACUGUUCUCAGUCCCUGGCAAGAGCUGGCCCCAUGGGGAGUGCUUUGUUGAUAGUGCCCAGUGCCCAGCAACCAGGCUGGGUUUGGGAAGGAGGCUGGAGUCUUCAGGAGGAAGGUCCUGCCCAAGAUGGUGCAGAGGAAGUCUGAGAUCUGAAUGCAUAUAAAUCAGCCCUCCUUGAAUUUAUUGAGCCUACUAUGUGCUGCUUUACGGAAGACAGAUGGUAAGAAGCCAGCCUUACUACUUCCAGGACCUCACAGCCCAGGAAGAAAGAAUAUGCCAAAAAGAAGCCCCUGAAGUGUGGCCCCUCCCAGAGGAAGCCAGAGGGAGUCAGCGCCUGGGACCAAGAUCAAGGACCACCUGGUAUUCCUCUCCCUAUGACUUGGAAAUUCCACCAGCUAAACACUGCCAACAACCAGUGGCUUCCCAUCUGGCCUACAGUAAAAACCUAAGAUCCUUAGGAUGCCUACAGGGCUCUUGGUGAUCUCCUUCUCCACAGCCCCUCCUCCAUCCCCCACCCCACUUCUUGUUAUCUCUUUGACAUCAUCUCCUACAACUCUUCCUAAGUCUAGAUUUGAGCUUCUCAAACUUGGCACUCUGGACGUUUUGGGAAGGAUCAUUCUUUGGAGAAUGUGGAGACCGUCCCGUGCAUUGUAGGAUGUUGAACAGCAUCCUUGACUCUCAUAGUGCACACUCCCAUCCCAGCUGUGACAACCCAAAAUGUUUCCAGACAUGGCCAGAUGUCCCCUGCGGGGAGAGGAGCAAAAUGGCCCUGUGAGGACCACUGGUCUAGACCACUCCCGCCAGCCCUGCUGCCCUCCUUGCUGUUCACACUACUACUUCCAGGUCCUUGCACUUGCUCUUCCCUCUACAGGGGUCUCCCCUGCACUUCUUUCUGGUCUUUACUCAAAUGUCACCUGCUCGGUGAGAUCUUACCCAACCAUCCUAUUUAAAAUUGCAACCCAUCCUAAUCAUCCCUAAAACAUUUCCCUCCUUAAUUUUUCUCCAUAGCAUUUAUCACUGUUAGGCAUUCCACAAGUCUUACUCAUUUUUAGUGUCUAUUUACUUCCAUCCAGUAGGAUGUAGCUCUCUGAGGGUGAGAUUUUGUUUGUUUGAUGUUUUGUUUUGGUCUUCUCUGUCCACUGCUGUAUCUCUGGACUUAGAACAAUGACUGGCACACAAAAGGCACUCAAUAAAUAUUCAAUGGAUGGGUGGAUGGCUGGGACAGCUCAAAUUCCUUUCUACCUCAGAAGCUGGUGGGUCAAGAGAGAAGAUAAGCCUGUGUCACUUCUCCAGUGAAUCCAUGGUGUCAUGGAUUCGCUGAAGCCAUGUGUCGGGGUGGACUCUAUACUGGGCCUUUAAGCACUUUACCUCCUCCCACACCAGAGUUUUUUUUUUCUCUCUCUCUCCUUUUUCCUGUCUUUGUUUCUUUUCUUUUUCUUCUCUCCUCUCCUCUUCUCUUUUUCCUUUUGCUUCUCAUAGUCUUGCUCUGUCACCCAGGCUGGAAUACAGUGGCAUAAUCAUGGCUCACUGAAGCCUCAAACUCCUGGGCUCAAAUGAUCCUCCAGCCUCAGCCUCCCAAGUAGCUGGGACUACAGGUGUACACCACCACGUUCAGCUAAUUUUUUUUCCCAUCUUUUUAGAGACAGGGUCUCCUAUGUUGCCCAGGCCGGUCUUGAACUCCUGGCCUCAAGUGGUCAUCCCACCUCAGCCUCUCAAGUAGCUGGAAUUACAGGUGAGAGCCACUGUACUUGGCAAGAGUUUUAUUUAAUUGCCCUUCUUGAGAGAAUAGUGGAAAAUUAUGUGGGACAGGGGCUUUCAGAGCUGGCUAUGAAAAGCAGUCAUUUCUUCUUUUCUUUUUUUCCCCUCUCACAUUCUUUUUAUAGCUGUAUGUAUCAUGCAUGUGCAACCUCAUGUUACCCCUGCCCUUUGGUAAGAAGCCUAUGUUUACAUAUAUAUAUAUUUUACUUAUAUAAUAAUAAUCGUUUAUCUUUUCUGAGUGCUUCCUGAAUGCCAAGUAUUGUGCUAAGUAUAGGGACCCCUUCAUUUAACCCUCCAAACAACACUAUAAGUCUAGUUUUAUUGUUAUUGUCAACUGCUUCUGCAGAUAAACUGCCAUAGCUUCAGUAUCUGAUGCAGAAACACAUAGACACAUAUCUGAAUUUGAAGCCAAACAAGGCUGAGCAUGGUGGCUCAUGCCUGUAAUCCCAACACUUUAGGAGGCCGAGGCAGGAGGAUUGCUUGAGCUCAGGAGUUUGAGACCAGCCUGGCCAUGCAGUGAAAUCU
rnacentral:lncRNA from 10 species